rnacentral:rRNA from 1 species
UACGAAGGGGGCUAGCGUUGCUCGGAAUCACUGGGCGUAAAGGGUGCGUGGGCGGACUGAUAAGUCAGCGGUGAAAUCCCACGGCUCAACUGUGGAACUGCCGUUGAUACUGUUAGUCUUGAAUGCAGAUGAUGUGGGCGGAAUAUGACAUGUAGUGGUGAAAUACUUAGAUAUGUCAUAGAACACCGAUUGCGAAGGCAGCUCACAAAACUGUGAUUGACGCUGAGGCACGAAAGCGUGGGGAUCAAACAGG